rnacentral:ribozyme from 1 species
GAACAUUGUGACUUCCUUGUUUACAUUUCAUUCCUUGGUUUGUUCCUAUUAUUUUCUUACAUUUGGGUUCUUUUCCAUAGAGACUUUUGACCCUUUCACCUACAAUCCCAACCGCUUUGACUAGAGAAUUACUUUUCAAAUCAAGGGAUUCAUAUUAAUAUUCUUUUCCAACUUUAUUUUAAUUAAUUUACACUUUUGUCUUUUCAUAUCUUGGACACUAUAUUUACAGGAUU